rnacentral:tRNA from 2 species
GCCCCUAUAGCUCAGUUGGUAGAGCUACUGACUUUUAAUCAGCAGGUCGCAGGUUCGAGUCCUGCUGGGGGCA